rnacentral:lncRNA from 1 species
UUUUUUUUUUUUUUUUUUUUUUGUUGAAAAUUUGGUUACCAAAGUCUAAAAUAUUAUAUUCUUAAUCCUUAAAUUUGAUUUCAAUUUACUCGUUGUGUUUCAAUUUGAUCUACGUUGCUCAAGUUUAAUUUUGAUCUGUAAUUUUCUCUAAAUGCUACUGACUUAGUGUUAACAUAGAAUUAUAAUUAAUUACAUUCUAUCAACUAUUUUAGUUGACUUAAAUGGUUGUUGGGUGAAUGAAAAAUAAAAUCACAAGAGCUUAUACUAUUGCAAAAAUGUUUGGAAGCUAUUAGCAAAUGGUAUCAAAGUCAUUCUCCCAUCUUAUCACCUUGGACAGAAUCCUCAACAAUCCAAAGAAGUGGUGAGCCUCAGAAAACUAAUAAUCAUUGUGUGAUGUGGUCGAGCUCCAUCAUAUAGGCAAUGUGCUCCAAUAAAAGGAGUUAACAUAGAUGAGAGUAGGAAAAUGAUUAAAUAAAAUAAACUAACAUAUGUAUUUAGGUGAUAAGUACUAUAUAAUAAACCCACAAGAGUGUAUAUCUUUGUCAAGGGUUAGGGUUAUCUCUAUAAAUGUCUUCACCUUUUAACUUAGACUAUGCUCGUCUCGACAAAUAUUAUAGAGGGGGUUUGAUCACAUAUUUUCAAGUAGCAUCGAUCCCCUUUUUUCCUUUUAAGUUGUCUUUCUUAUAAAAGUAUAUAAACAAAAAGUUGAUAUUUGAUAUUGUUUUUUAAUGAACAAUUCGCAAAUCUUGAUUGCAGAUGUUGCUCAACAUGUGGAAAAGUGCUUGCACAAAGUUCUACCGCCAAAUCACCGAACUUAAAGCUCAUAAAAAAAAAAUUUAAAAGAAACUUCAUUUCUCAUCAGAAGAAAAUUAGGAAAGAACUUCUUAAAUUAGCACAACUCUCUAAUACGACUUAGAUUUUCAUUUCCCAAUUCAACCACAUUUCCAAAUAAUUAUCUUUAUUCAUUUGUUUAUUUUUUCUUAUCGUCAUCCUUUAGCAAUUCAUUCUCGGAAGGAAAAUGGAAAGUAGUAUGUGAAUGUGUACUCAGAUGGCCACAAUUAGGCUUUAUGAAGAAGGUAAAUAAAUAAAUAUUAAUUGAAGUUCAAAGCUCUAUUUUCUCAGAUUUCAUGGAUUAAUCUUUAAAAGAGGUGAAAACAAUUAUGAUAUAUGUAAUGAAGCAAUCAUCUAUUAGUAGGAUACUUUUUUUAUGUUCAAUGCAAGCAAAAUUUUAAGAAACAAAGUGCACAAUAUCAAAGUAUUGUGAAGAUAUGUAUGUGGUUGAUUGUCUAUAUCAAAAAUUGAGAGGGGGAAAGAAAUGUGAAAUAAGUGAUUAAAUUAAAAAAUGUUUAAUGGAGCUCGAAAAAGUUCACUAAAUAUUAUCAUUUAGAGAAAGUAUAUCAAGGAAUCAUCAAGUGUGUAUAGGGUUUAUUUUUUAAUUUGUGGGUUGAUUUUUUUUUCUUUUGCUAUUUUUGCAAAACUAAAAACUUUGAGCUAUUGGCCUAAUAUUGAUAACUUAUUUUGCUGAUUUGGGAACAAAUCCAACUUUUUAAAAGUUAAAAGACUAAAGUAAAGUAUAGUGUUUUGAAACUUAGAAACCAAUGAAAAGUUGUUAUUAAAUUUAGUGACAAAAGUUGUAUUUAAUUUGUAUUUUUUUUAAAAUGUCAAUAAAUCUUAACAUACAAACCAUAACAUUGACGCUCAAAAUUGUUACUAAAAUAAACCUAAAAUGUAUGCUCAUAAAUUCCUUCAAGAGUCAAAUCAACAUCAAAUUAUUGGGGUGAUUAAGAUUUCUUAAAAGAAAGGAAGAAAAAAGGGGUUUGUGUCAUGAAGAGAACCAUUAAAUGUGAAUAAAAAAUGAUUGUCAUGGUGACAUUAAAUGAUGAAAUAGAUAUUACAUUAUUGACAAAUGGAUUAGGUAACAAGCCAAAUCCCUUAUCAUAUUGUCUAUCCCUUUAAUUCAUUUAUUCUACUUUGACUUCCUACAUACUCUCACUUCUAUUAUGGCCCAUUUGUUUAGUUUUAGGGUUGAAUUGCAAAAAUUACCACUAAAAUAUAUGUAAUUAUAUUACUAAACUAUCAAAAUUAAAAGUAAGCUAUUAAAUUUAUUCAAAAUUUAAAAUUAGGUAAUCAAACAGCUUCCACAAUUGUAUGGUUUAUAUAAGUUUGAUGGUUCAAUUUUUAAGACUCGAGGAUCUAAUUUUAAUAUUUUUAGAAGUUUAGGCGUCCAAUUAUAAAAACUAUAGUAAAGAAUAAAAAAAUGAUGAAUAUCAAAUAUAACUAAUUGGAGACUUUUAAAUAGUGUUUACGGUAGCAAGAGAUAUGUCUAUUAUAUUUGUAGUAAGAGAUGAUUUUUUUCUCCUCUCCAUUGAGAGCCGGGAAGGAGUCCAUCUAUAUGCUCGAAAGCAUAAUCGCAAACUUAAGAGUAGUGAGAAGCAAUUAGAAUGAGAACCUCAUCUCCCACUAAACUCUACUGAAUCAAAGUUACUGAUCACAACCACAAAACAAUAGUCAAAACAAAUCAUAAACCAUAUGUCAUCCAUCUUCAGUGGGACGGAAUGUUGAACCCCUACCCAAAAGCAACACUAUCUAGUGAACUUCAUAAAGCAAAGCCCUUAUUAAUGACUAAACGCUCGAAACAACUAGAAUAAAUUAGACUUCUUACUUAUUAGAUAGACAUUAACGACUUAGGUCUAUCUUCUACUCUAGACCUAAGAUAUAAAUUGAAAAUUUGAGACAUCAUGUGCCACACGUACAAUAUUAAUUAAAUCUACACAGUUCUUCUCAUUAUGAGAUAAUACUCUAUCGAAAAUCUCUUCUCCCAUACUUAAAACUGAAGCUAAUUGAGAUCUUUUACUUUUAGCUGAGACUCAUUUCCUAUUUGUCUCUAAGACACUUGUUAAAGAAUUUAGUGGUCUAGAGUAGACACCACAAAAAUGUAGUAAUUGAAAGCAUGAAUAAGAGAACAUACAAUAAUAGAAUCUAACUCAAAAAUAAAAUUGUUAUAUUUUGAAACUUAAAACAAAAUUGAAAUGAAUUAAAUAAAAACUAACAACAGAUUGAAAAGAUAUUUUCUCCUAAAAAUUUAUCUACUAAUGGAAUCUGAAAAAGUCAACAAAACGUAUUGACCUCGUCGGCGACUAACCUCAGGCGGCGGUGAGAUAAAAAAAGAAAGAAAAGAAGAUAAGAACAUACGGCGGCGUCUCUAUCGGGAACAGAGUGGCAAUUUCGGUUAAUAAGGGGAAGUGGAAGGGUAUUUUUGUUGAUGUAGAGAGAGAAAGUCGUCUCUCUCAUCUCCGCCUGCAGCUGAGUUUUUUUCUGGUGGGUCAUAUCUAUUUCUAAGCUCUCUUUGUCUUCUUCUUCAUCUUCCCAAAAUCAACAAACCCACGCAAAUUCCAAAUUUAGGGAUUGGGAUUUGGAAUAUUAAAAAUUUCCCAAUCCAAUUAUUACUUUUCCAAGUAAUUUCUGUUUGAAUGUUGAUUACUAUACGAUCCUCCGUCAGGUGGAUUUCCGCUUCUUUUUUGAUUUAAGUUGAUGGGUAAUGCCAAUGGUAGGGAGCAGAGUACUCCCGGAGCACCACCUGCCGGAGGAAGACCUGACGUCGAUGAGCAAAGUCCGGCAAUUACUUCGGAAACCAGUGAAACUAGUAACGUUGUUUCUUCAGAUUCGAUGGGAAAUACUCCUCCUCAAAGCCCUGGGAAGUUCCGAUCCCCGAUCUUGUUCGCUCCCCAGGUCAAUAUUUCGUUCUUUUCCCGCUAAUCUUUAUCUCUUGUGAACUGGGUUUGUGUCAAUUUAUGUUCUUUUUGCUUUUCAUGCUGAUGUUUUUUGGUUGUUCGUGGGAUUUGAUUCAUUCAAUGAUACGUCGUUUUGUUAUUGGGUUUUAUUGUUUGGUUGAGGUUGGGUUUCCCGGGGAAUUUCUUUACUAAGAUCGCUGUAUUGCAAUGGUUGUAAAUGGGGAAAGUUCCAGCCAAGAUCCACUUAAUUGACUACUUGAACUAAUAUUGACUUCCAGCAAUUUUAAAUAAUGUUAAUUGUUAAUUAUUAUUAUUUAUUUUUACUUUUGAUCAUUUUCUUAAUGCUGUGCUCUUUGGAUAUGAAUGGCUGAAAUGUGGAGAUGAAUGGCUGAAAUGUCUGUUGUUGGAUUUGACUUCUCUGAUCAACUACAGUUUGUAUAUGAAAAGCUGGGAUUUCUCUCUUAAUCUCGAUCCCCUUUGAACUUUUGAUUAAUCUAUUAGAGUUGUUUGGUUUUUAGAAUCAAGUAUGUUGUGGAGCUGAGUGUUUCUUCUUUAUCGGUUGAAGGACUGAUGGCGUACUCAUCGAUGUAAUGGGUGAUGAGUAAAAACUUGUAGAUCCGGAUUUGAUCUUACUUAGCAAAUAUUUUGGCUAGAUUGUAAGGUCGAAUUUGACUUUCUUGCUGUUUGAGAUGAACCCAAUGUGAAUUUGUAUGAUGUUUAGCCUUGGUUAUGCCUUUUGAAAUGAUGGUGGGCAUGUGUUACAAGACUUGCAGAUUCCAGUGGCUCCCUUGCAAGGAGGUAAUGGUCCAACCCAUUACAGUGGAGCCUGGCAGAACGAAUUCGAGGGAGCUGUAGAUAGUCCUCCAGAGCAAGGAGUCCCGACAAUCAUCACAUGGAGCUUUGGAGGCAAUAAUGUUGCCGUUGAGGGGUCUUGGGAUAACUGGGCUUCCAGGUUAUUUUUUAUCCUUCUCCAGGCUGCUAUUGUCAAUCCGUGAUUUGUUCAAGCCUCAUGCUUCACGACAUUAGAUCUACUGCAUUUUGCAUAAAUAAUGAAAUAUUAUGCUACAUUGGUUCUGCAGGAAAACCCUGCAGAGGACUGGCAAAGAUUUUUCGCUACUUAUGGUCCUUCCAUCUGGAGUAUAUCAUUAUAAGUUCAUCGUCGAUGGUCAACGAAGAUAUAUUCCAGAUCUUCCUUUCAUAGCUGAUGAGAUGGGCAAUGUCUUUAAUCUUCUCAAUGUUUCUGUAAGUGUGAUUCUUCCCUCCAUCUGCAUUACCAUCCAAUCAGCAUGAACUUGAUCUUGACUCAUUGUUUGUAUAAAAAAUUUAUUCGGCUAUGUGUAAAAAUAGAAACUAUCACAUAGGUGCAAAAAUACUUGCUUGAUUCCAUGUCGACAUAUCACUAGAAGGAUAAAUGCCUGAAGAGAUUCCAUAGUAGUUCACGGCUUCUCAAUUUUAUAACUACAACCUUAAUAAUCCAUGAUGAAUUGUUCAAAAAAGAACCGAUCAAAGAUUGUUUAAGCUCAUUCAUUUUCACACUAUUGGUAUUACUCUCGUAUGUUUGAUGUAGAGAGAUCAUAGUUUUAAACCUGGAAAAGGACUAAAGAAAAGAAUGAGGAUAGCUCUCCACUCCCCAAGUCAGUAAAGUUAGGUAGAAACUCAGAAAGCCAAAACAGCCUUAAUGUCUUACGUUAUGGCAAUAUAAAUUCUAAAAUAAAAGAGGAAAAACUGUGGCAGUGUCACCACUAAAAGAGAAAAAGAGAGAACAAAGGAGAGAAACAGCCGCAUGUCUUACAAACCGGUUGGCUGGUCUGAAUGAUGCCAAAAUCUCCUAUAACAAAUCCUUUUCUUUUCCUUUUUGAACACUUCUGAACACCAACGUAAUUAACAUAAGAUUUUUCUGAUAAGGAACGUGAUUAAAACAAGUUCUUUGUUUAUUUUAUUAAAAAAAAGGUUCUUUGUUUAUUUAAUAUCAGAAACGUGAUUUACUCAAGUGCUUGAGAGUUUUGUCUUCAUCCUCUAUGUAGCAACUGUAGACAUUCAGAAAUUAUUUCCUUUAUCCUGUCAUGCUUUUUGAAUGUGUUACUUGUAAAUAACUACUCUUGCACCUGUUUGAUUCUUUUGGGGAGCUUAGUUUUAUCAUUUUUGGAGGAAAAGAACAAAUUUAUAUCAUCAGGUUGAUCAGAAAAUUAUAGGAGAAUUGGGAAAGGUGCCUACACAAUAGAUUAUCCUGGCUCUCUUGUUCUUUCUUUUCAAUUUGUGCAAUGAGACACGUUCAUCAUGUUUCACAAUUAUUUCAUCUUCUUGCUUGCCAUGAGCGUGUUAAGAUACUACCUUCACGAUUUAUAUAAUAAUAAUGAGAUAAGAAGGUUUAAGUAGUAGGUAUUACAGCAUGAGCAUUCCCACCGAUUCAAGAUGGGGAUGCUCCCAAGUCUUAUACUCGCAACUUAACAAAACAACCAAUAACCUGAAAUACAACAAAAAUUGCUACCUAAUCACAAACCCCAACUUAUUAGCGGGUGAAUUUCCUUUGCCCCUUCUAACAUAAACAUUGGGUAUUUGGAGGGGUCCCAUAAAGUGUACAUUUUGUCCAUUGAUUGUUCUAUUGAAGUAUAUUCAAAAGAUACAAGGAGAAUAUCAAAAUAUGUUGAGUAAAAUAGUUAUUCAUGUGCUCAACCCUAAUGAGCAUUUGAGCUAUUAAGGGAUAUAUCUAUAUAUAUAUAUAGAACAUGAGCACACAUACACAUAACACACGUGCGCAUAAUAGGAUAGGAGGCUGUAGUCUUCUCAUUCAUGGUUCUGGUGUGCAUUUAUUGCCUGUGUUCAUACUACUGUCCAUCACCAUAACUUGGUAACUCUCUGGAACAAAAAGAAACCAUAUACUUUUCCCAUGAAAUUCUAUUGUAAUCAUUUUGUUAUAAUUCUGAAUGUACACUGAGAAUGAGAAGUUUCUUGUCAGCAUUGAAGAGAAAGAUUCAUUACUUCAAUUAACUAGUGUAGUGCUGAAGACAAACUGACUUUAUGCGUUUCAUCUUCACUUUUCAUUUUGGAGUUGUUUCCAUUCUGUAGGAUAGUGUGCCUGAUAUUCUACAGAGUGUGGCCGAGUUUGAGCCUCCACAAUCACCAGAGACAACUUACAGCCAGACAUUCCCCACCGAGGAAGACUUCGCCAAGGAGCCAGCAGCCGUACCAUCGCAGCUCCACCUCACGGUUCUCGGCAUGGAGAACGCAGAUGAAGCUUCAUCCUCAAAACCUCAACACGUUGUGCUUAACCACCUUUUUAUAGAGAAAGGAUGGGCUUCUCAGUCUGUGGUUGCUUUGGGACUUACUCAUAGGUUCCAUUCAAAAUAUGUCACCGUCGUCCUCUACAAACCGCUCAACAGGUAGUUAUUGUCGAUUUUUCUCACUGAACGUUGUAAAGGAUCACGAGCUACUACACCCUCCAUCGUCUGUGGAGGAAUGUUGUUUUAUAGAACUGCCUUUUGGCGAAAGUUUGCUAGCAACAAAAUAACUCUUAUUCUGAUCAAUAUUUCUUCAAUCUGUGAAGAAAUGUCUGUUUCAUAGAACUGCUUGGCCAAAAAAGUUAUAUUACCUUUUCUCUAAUUGUGUCAAUAGCUAGUAGGUUUUGAUAGAUCUAAGUGGGGAAGUCUUGGUCUAAGCCUACGUCUUGCUCAGUUUUAGCAUUCUCGUGUGCUACGUUCGACAAAUUAUUUUGGUUCCUGAUUUUAGAUUGGAUUAUUAAAUAAUUUUGGUCUUGGAUGUUUAAUUAUCCAAGAUCACUCCCAACUUUGGAAUAACUUCCCUUUAGAAAAGAAUGGAUGUUUGUAGACUUUGAACAUCUUAGGUGAGAAAUUGAUCGAACACUUUACACAAUACAAAUACAAAUGAUAUCAUUUGUAAGUAGGUUUGGCAACAGGCUACAGUCAAGGGCAUUCCCAUCCUUGCCACUACAUAAGGAAAUAAUCUCAAUCCAUCUAUCCAUCACCGACAUAAUUAAUAUAAGUUCUCAUCCUUUCUCUAAACUUUAUGCUCUUUACUUGAUAUAUAUAUAUAUAUAUAUAUCUUCAAGUCUUCUCUGGAUUUUAUCUUUUUUAGAUCAAUUUCUUUUAUGGAAAAUCUUUUAUUUGCAAUUUUUUUAUUGUAUUAAAGAAAAACAAUACUAUUUAAACUAGGCUCAAGCCUUCGUAUUUUCUUAGUGAAAAAAAAAAAAGAAACUUUCAUGAAAACAUGCAUAAAAUUUAAAACAAAAACACACCCAAUGAUAAAAUUUCACAAAGUAACAAUAAUUACUAAGAGGACUAAAAGGGAAAAUGUUUCUUUACAUAUCAUUCUUUUAACUAAUAUUUUCUAUUGUAUACAGAAUAUAACAUAAUCAUAAAAUAGAACCUUGGUCUAAAGAGGGCUGAAGCACAUUUAUACCAUUAACUAACAAUUCCUAUUGGAAUUAUCUCGGUUCUUUUAUAUAUAUAUAUAUUAUAUAAAGAGCAUAAAAUUAAGGAGACUCAGGUCAUAUUACAUCCGCUAAUAAGAUUUAUUGUCAACCCUAUAUUUAACUUAAUUUCUCUAAACAGUGCUAUAUAAGAACAAAAAAAAUUAUUACCAUUCAAUUUCCUUUUCUUUUUCGAAGGGUUAACACCUCUAUAUCGUUUUCACAAAUAAAUUGUUAUUUUAAACGUAUUAGAUAGAAUAGCCUACUAAUACUUAAAACUACUUAUCAAGUCUAUCAAACUUGUUCUAGUUUCUUUUCCUCUUUUUUCUUUCUCCUUUUAAAAAGCAAGUUUAUGAGUGUUGAAAAAUCACUAAAACUUUCAUUAAAAAAAAGUUCGAACUUGUUCAAGGUUAUAUGUUGAAGUUAGAUAGGUAAAAAAGGGCACAACACUACUAAAAUCUAGAAGGUUAACUUUGAACGAUGAAUUUAAUUCAAGAUAACUCUUCUCUCAACUUUUCUUGUUAAAAGGAAAUAAUGACACAAGUGGUAAGGUUUUCUAAACUCAUAUAUAUUUUUAUAUAAUUUAACCUUCAAAUGUAACAAAGAACCAACUAUAUAAAAUAAUAAACAUUAUAACGUAUUAAUAAUUGAUACAUACAUAAAAAUGGUGUGCUUAACAUUGGGGAAGGUCCGUACCCACAAAACAUUUUCUUCAAAUUAUUUAUCUUAUUUAAUUUAAGAAUGAUUUAAAAGAAAAAUAUUUUUGAAAAUUUUAUUUUCAUUUACACAUACACGUCUUGAUAGAGGUUUAUGGUUAAACAAUCAAAUUCGAUUUUCCAUUUACUUUAAUCACUUGAAAAUAUAUUCAAAAUACACCCUCCUAAAUACAUACAUACAGUUUGCUCGACUAAUCGGUUAGUUUUAAAGGAUUAAAAACACAUUUCGAGUGUCCUCGUUCCGAAAUAAGAAGAAAAAAUUCAGCGAAAUCAAGUGAAGAAAUAUGGAUUUAUUAAGCAAAGUCAGCAGCGAAAAGAAAUAAUAACAUAGGCAUUACAAAUUACAAUACAAUGGAAGAAAUCUCCAUCUCCAGCAGUAUUAAUAAAACAUUCAUGAGUGAUGUUGAGGAGCCAAAAGGCCAAUGGAUUCAUUGGAAAUGUACUUGAAAUUGAUAUUGCGAAACACAAAAAAGAGAAGAGAAAAGAAAAUACCAAAUAUUGAUAAUAGAAGGAGGACUCCACUAUCUCUAAAUCUACUCAAGAAGAAGAAAAGAGAAGAUGAAAAACAGCAAACCAAUAACAGAAAAUACAGUACCAUAAAUUAUGCAAACAAAGAGAGUAAGAUAACAGAAAGAACCAACAACUAAAGCUAAUAACACCCAAAAGAAAAGAAGGGGUUUCUCCUACAGAUAGAAUUGCCCCAUUAACAAAGGGAUCCUCUCUCUCCUUUUUCGGUUUCUUAGCUUUC